rnacentral:rRNA from 1 species
UGCGUAGGUGGGCAGGUAAGUCAGUGGUGAAAUCCCCAAGCUUAACUUGGGAACUGCCAUUGAUACUAUUUGUCUUGAAUACCGUGGAGGUGAGCGGAAUAUGUCAUGUAGCGGUGAAAUGCUUAGAUAUGACAUAGAACACCAAUUGCGAAGGCAGCUUGCUACGCGGAUAUUGACACUGAUGCACGAAAGCGUGGGGAUCAAACAGGAUUAGAUACCCUGGUAGUCCACGCCCUAAACGAUGGAUACUCGACAUACGCGAUACACUGUGUGUGUCUGAGCGAAAGCAUUAAGUAUCCCACCUGGGAAGUACGAUCGCAAGAUUGAA